GUACCCAAAAACCUGAAAUGAGAGCGCUUAAGGACAAUGAGAUGUUUGAUGCAUAGAUGGAAAUUGGCCUGCCUUUGUAUAUAUAAGUCUACAUCUUCCCAGAUUUGACCAAAGCGAUGCUGUGAAUGAUGUUUGGCUUCAGGACUUUAAGUCUCACACAAGUUGCUGGUUCAGUCGCAUGAAUGGUCAGUGGAAUUCACAAGAGUCACUGAAAAAAUUAGGAGAACCAGUUGAAGUUGCUCAGAGUUUCUAAAUGCAAAACCAGAACUUGUGGUGACCUCAAGGACAAAUGAUGAUUUGAAUAGAGCUAUAGAAUGGUUACUUUUUCGUUUGGAUUUGAUGAAACUGAACCAGCUGGCAAAAACAGAAUAUGGUCAAUGAGAUAAAUGUGUGAUAAAGCAGGAAGGAAAGAGCAGCUCACCAGUAACUGAUGUGAUAAAAAAUUAGCUUCUGAAUAGGGCAUGAAGCAGAGGAGCUUUUUACAGCAUCUGAAAAAAACAGCAGUUGAGAUAGGAUUCAGGAAGGAUAUCAAGCUGCCCAGAAAAUUUGAUGAUUUAAAUGUUUUGACAAAGUCUUAACAUUCUCGAAGCACUGAUGGACAAAAAUUCAAUCCAGUCACAACAUAAUUACAGCUAAGGCGUGUAAUGGGAUGGACAUUGUCUAGGACUGAUAAUUCAUGGACAUUUUGAUCUGUUAUUACAAGAAAUUUUUCCUGAGUGUGUUCCAAAGUGUGAUUUCAUGAUAAGAUGUGUAAGGGUUUUUUAUCCGCAGUCUUCGUUAGCUGCUGUUUUAAAAAAACUGCCUAGACAAUGUUAAUUAUACAUAUAUUUAUGGUAUACUUCCUCU
rnacentral:lncRNA from 1 species